AUUGAACGCUGGCGGCAGGCCUAACACAUGCAAGUCGAGCGGAUGAAGGGAGCUUGCUCCUGGAUUCAGCGGCGGACGGGUGAGUAAUGCCUAGGAAUCUGCCUGGUAGUGGGGGAUAUCGUCCGGAAACGGGCGCUAAUACCGCAUACGUCCUGAGGGAGAAAGUGGGGGAUCUUCGGACCUCACGCUAUCAGAUGAGCCUAGGUCGGAUUAGCUAGUUGGUGGGGUAAAGGCCUACCAAGGCGACGAUCCGUAACUGGUCUGAGAGGAUGAUCAGUCACACUGGAACUGAGACACGGUCCAGACUCCUACGGGAGGCAGCAGUGGGGAAUAUUGGACAAUGGGCGAAAGCCUGAUCCAGCCAUGCCGCGUGUGUGAAGAAGGUCUUCGGAUUGUAAAGCACUUUAAGUUGGGAGGAAGGGCAGUAAGUUAAUACCUUGCUGUUUUGACGUUACCAACAGAAUAAGCACCGGCUAACUUCGU
rnacentral:rRNA from 1 species